rfam:Lepisosteus oculatus linkage group LG2, whole genome shotgun sequence.
ACCAGCAGCCAUAUCACUCUACAACUCACAACUGACAACCCACUAAAGAUAAGCAGGUGCGAGCCCGGUCAGUACCUAGAUGGGAGACCUCCUGGGAAAAACAAAGGUUGCUGCUGGAA